CUAGUACUCCCUCCGUCCGAAAAAACUUGUCAUCAAAAUGGACAAAAAGGGGUGUAUCUAGAACUACAUCCAGAUACAUUCCCUUUUAUUCAUUUUGAUGACAGGUAUUUACAGACGGAGGGAGUACUUG
rfam:Triticum aestivum genome assembly, contig: Triticum_aestivum_CS42_TGACv1_scaffold_640922_T_7AL-0.162236_3AS-0.111376